AUGCAGUCGAGCGGACAGAUGGGAGCUUGCUCCCUGAUGUUAGCGGCGGACGGGUGAGUAACACGUGGGUAACCUGCCUGUAAGACUGGGAUAACUCCGGGAAACCGGGGCUAAUACCGGAUGGUUGUUUGAACCGCAUGGUUCAAACAUAAAAGGUGGCUUCGGCUACCACUUACAGAUGGACCCGCGGCGCAUUAGCUAGUUGGUGAGGUAACGGCUCACCAAGGCAACGAUGCGUAGCCGACCUGAGAGGGUGAUCGGCCACACUGGGACUGAGACACGGCCCAGACUCCUACGGGAGGCAGCAGUAGGGAAUCUUCCGCAAUGGACGAAAGUCUGACGGAGCAACGCCGCGUGAGUGAUGAAGGUUUUCGGAUCGUAAAGCUCUGUUGUUAGGGAAGAACAAGUACCGUUCGAAUAGGGCGGUACCUUGACGGUACCUAACCAGAAAGCCACGGCUAACUACGUGCCAGCAGCCGCGGUAAUACGUAGGUGGCAAGCGUUGUCCGGAAUUAUUGGGCGUAAAGGGCUCGCAGGCGGUUUCUUAAGUCUGAUGUGAAAGCCCCCGGCUCAACCGGGGAGGGUCAUUGGAAACUGGGGAACUUGAGUGCAGAAGAGGAGAGUGGAAUUCCACGUGUAGCGGUGAAAUGCGUAGAGAUGUGGAGGAACACCAGUGGCGAAGGCGACUCUCUGGUCUGUAACUGACGCUGAGGAGCGAAAGCGUGGGGAGCGAAC
rnacentral:rRNA from 1 species